CUGCAGCACCUCCUAGAGCCCUGGGCUGGAUCCUCUUGGCUGUGACAGUGGCCCUGGCUCUUCUGACAGGUCUUGGAUUUUGGUUUAGGAAACGCUGGACACACUGUGAAGCUCCCUGCAGUGCUGUCCCUUUGAAGUGAGGACCCAGCUACCCAGGUGCCCAGUCUACACCUGGACACCACGUGGUGAUGACAUCACUUCAACUGUCCUUGUGAAAC
rnacentral:lncRNA from 1 species